GACGAACGCUGGCGGCGUGCCUAAUACAUGCAAGUAGAACGCUGAAGAGAGGAGCUUGCUCUUCUUGGAUGAGUUGCGAACGGGUGAGUAACGCGUAGGUAACCUGCCUUGUAGCGGGGGAUAACUAUUGGAAACGAUAGCUAAUACCGCAUAACAAUGGAUGACACAUGUCAUUUAUUUGAAAGGGGCAAUUGCUCCACUACAAGAUGGACCUGCGUUGUAUUAGCUAGUAGGUGAGGUAAUGGCUCACCUAGGCGACGAUACAUAGCCGACCUGAGAGGGUGAUCGGCCACACUGGGACUGAGACACGGCCCAGACUCCUACGGGAGGCAGCAGUAGGGAAUCUUCGGCAAUGGGGGCAACCCUGACCGAGCAACGCCGCGUGAGUGAAGAAGGUUUUCGGAUCGUAAAGCUCUGUUGUAAGUCAAGAACGGGUGUGAGAGUGGAAAGUUCACACUGUGACGGUAGCUUACCGGAAAGGGACGGCUAACUACGUG
rnacentral:rRNA from 1 species